UAAAAGUCGAUGACGAAGAGAGUAAUCAUAAUGAGGGGACACAGCGAAUCAGGGAUGGUGGAAGCCUGAUCGAGAUCGAAUGAUGAACCGCACUUCUGAGACGCCUGCCUGAAAAGAUCAUGAUAGGGCAAGCCGGGGAUUUCCCGUUAUUAAAAACAAGCCGGUUCUGUUAUGGAACAAAGAGAGUGGUACCGCGGGAUACAAACCCCGUCUCUUCU
rnacentral:ncRNA from 1 species